rnacentral:rRNA from 1 species
GAUGAACGCUGGCGGCGUGCCUAAUACAUGCAAGUCGAGCGAACGGACGAGAAGCUUGCUUCUCUGAUGUUAGCGGCGGACGGGUGAGUAACACGUGGAUAACCUACCUAUAAGACUGGGAUAACUUCGGGAAACCGGAGCUAAUACCGGAUAAUAUUUUGAACCGCAUGGUUCAAAAGUGAAAGACGGUCUUGCUGUCACUUAUAGAUGGAUCCGCGCUGCAUUAGCUAGUUGGUAAGGUAACGGCUUACCAAGGCAACGAUGCAUAGCCGACCUGAGAGGGUGAUCGGCCACACUGGAACUGAGACACGGUCCAGACUCCUACGGGAGGCAGCAGUAGGGAAUCUUCCGCAACGGGCGAAAGCCUGACGGAGCAACGCCGCGUGAGUGAUGAAGGUCUUCGGAUCGUAAAGCUCUGUUAUUAGGGAAGAACAUAUGUGUAAGUAACUGUGCACAUCUUGACGGUACCUAAUCAGAAAGCCACGGCUAACUACGUGCCAGCAGCCGCGGUAAUACGUAGGUGGCAAGCGUUAUCCGGAAUUAUUGGGCGUAAAGCGCGCGUAGGCGGUUUUUUAAGUCUGAUGUGAAAGCCCACGGCUCAACCGUGGAGGGUCAUUGGAAACUGGAAAACUUGAGUGCAGAAGAGGAAAGUGGAAUUCCAUGUGUAGCGGUGAAAUGCGCAGAGAUAUGGAGGAACACCAGUGGCGAAGGCGACUUUCUGGUCUGUAACUGACGCUGAUGUGCGAAAGCGUGGGGAUCAAACAGGAUUAGAUACCCUGGUAGUCCACGCUGUAAACGAUGAGUGCUAAGUGUUAGGGGGUUUCCGCCCCUUAGUGCUGCAGCUAACGCAUUAAGCACUCCGCCUGGGGAGUACGACCGCAAGGUUGAAACUCAAAGGAAUUGACGGGGACCCGCACAAGCGGUGGAGCAUGUGGUUUAAUUCGAAGCAACGCGAAGAACCUUACCAAAUCUUGACAUCCUUUGACAACUCUAGAGAUAGAGCUUUCCCCUUCGGGGGACAAAGUGACAGGUGGUGCAUGGUUGUCGUCAGCUCGUGUCGUGAGAUGUUGGGUUAAGUCCCGCAACGAGCGCAACCCUUAAGCUUAGUUGCCAUCAUUAAGUUGGGCACUCUAAGUUGACUGCCGGUGACAAACCGGAGGAAGGUGGGGAUGACGUCAAAUCAUCAUGCCCCUUAUGAUUUGGGCUACACACGUGCUACAAUGGACAAUACAAAGGGCAGCGAAACCGUGAGGUCAAGCAAAUCCCAUAAAGUUGUUCUCAGUUCGGAUUGUAGUCUGCAACUCGACUACAUGAAGCUGGAAUCGCUAGUAAUCGUAGAUCAGCAUGCUACGGUGAAUACGUUCCCGGGUCU